GAUGAAGAACGUAGCGAAUUGCGAUAAGUAAUGUGAAUUGCAGAUUUCAGUGAAUCAUCGAAUCUUUGAACGCACCUUGCGCCCUUUGGCUAUUCCGAAGGGCAUGCCUGUUUGAGUAUCAUGAACACCUCAACUCUCAUGGUUUGCCAUGAUGAGCUUGGACUUUGGGGGUCUUGCCGGCCUAUGGGUCGGCUCCUCUCAAAUUAAUCAGCUUGCCAGUGUUUGGUGGCAUCACAGGUGUGAUAACUAUCUACGCUUGUGGUUUUCCAUCAGGUAACCUUCAGUGAUGGAGGUUCGCUGGGGCUCAUAAAUGUCUCUCCUCAGUGAGGACAGCUUUUUUGAACGUUUGAUCUCAAAUCAGGUAGGACUACCCGCUGAACUUAAGCAUAUCAAUAAGCGGAGGA
rnacentral:misc_RNA from 1 species